AAUUUUUCCUACUGCGCCACCAGUUGCCUUCUUCCUGCUUCGCCACCAGCUGCCGGCAGAGAGAAAAACAAGGGCUAUCGAGUUGGCAGCUUCUCCGGAUCUUGGCAGUAAGUUCUAUAGGUUUUGAGCAGUGUUGAGGCAUCAGGGAAUUUGGGUAAGGUUGGUGUUAAGUUAAUUACUGUUGAGGUGAGUAUGGGAAGAUGAACUUGAUGAUUUCGAUAGUUUGAGCUAUUGGUAUUACUUUUGUUAUGUAAGCAUAGGGUUAAUUAUAUUAAAUCCUGUGUAGACCUUAUAUGGUGAUUUCCUUUGCAGACAUUGUUGGAGAAAGCCCUAAUCGCUGUGAUCUUCCUUUUGUGUGAUCCAGAGGACCUUGACGCGAGACAAGUUUCUUAACGUCCGGAUUUGGACUGAUUGGAUCUUUCCUAUU